rnacentral:lncRNA from 1 species
CAUUUUUUUCAUUUUGAAAAAGGGGGGUUGAAACUCUCCAAUAUACUACUAGUCAUUAAAACGACUUUUUAGAAAAAUGUGACCGUACGAAAUUCUGACGACAGGGCAAAAACUAAAGAAGACAUAUUUGUCUUUAAGUUAAGACCAUUUUUAGCCGUGUGUUAUUUGGGGAGAUUAAACUCGCGAUCUAGACGACUUUUUACACUUCUGUCACCGCACUAUAAAUC